UCAAACUCGAUGAUUGAAAGUAGUAAAUUGCAUAUGAUCUUAAUAGAGAGCCGGCGGUGGUGGAAGUCCGGUAAGAUUAAGCUUUUGAAUGGAUUCAUGAGAGGAUUGGCGAAGUUAGUAGCCAAGGCCGGCAUCCCCCGUUAAAGGGAACGGACCUUACAGUCCGGUAGAGAUGAGUAGAAAUUUGCUCAAGUCAGGUGGUACCGUGGAUAUUGCUUCCGCCCUGGCG
rnacentral:ncRNA from 1 species